GUGGCUUAGUGGUUAGAGCGUCCGCCUUGGAUGCGGAGAGUCGCUGAUUCGAACUCUGGACAAGUCA